AAAUGAGACAAAAUCAACCUUCUGUUCCGUUUCUUUCACAAUUAGAAAAAUGUCCAUUCUUACCUCAGUCGACAUGUUGCCUUGAGACGGUGCAGGAUCUGUCCCGUGCUGAAUUCGUCUGCUCUUGGGACUGCGCGGCUCGAGCUUCGCGGGAGGGCGGGAACACACUAGCGCGGCUCGAGCGUGUGGGUGUCGUGUGUGUGAGACAGACAGAGAGACAGACAGAGAGAGAGAGAGAUGCAGAUGUUCUGGGCUGUAAAAAACAACAACCGUUAUCUCCUGCUGUUUCCUUGAUAACUCAGUCAAGCAGGAAGACUGAGAGAGAAACUUGAGGCAACAAUCAACAUUGCUGUGUUCCAGUCGAAUUGGACCGAUUUGCAAGUUCUCUCUGAAAAAUGUAGUUCAUUUAAUCUGAUUGUCAUAAGGUUCCAUGACUUUGUCCACACAGGGCAUCUGAACACACAAAUACAUUUGGAUGAUUUUCCUUACAUUUUGGCCGAUUUAUUUAACUUGUGUACACGUGGUGUUCCCUUUGACCAGUCAUUAGCAAUGAAUGGGUGAGACUACAAUUAGAGUAUAAAAUUGAGUUCAGACACACUUCCUCUCCCAGACCCCCACAUGCAUGUGUGUUUGAACACACACACACACACACACACACACACACACACACACACACACACACACACACACACACACACACACCUCACUCCCCUUCUUGGCUUCCAUGGUAACCCCCAUGGGAACCUUUCCCCAAUAGAAUCUUUCCCCAUGGGAACCCCACCUGAUGGCAUUCUCACAAACAAUCGCAACAUUGUUUCAAUAAUAUAUAGAACUUUUCUUGCAGCUCUGGUAUAUAAAGCUUUUUUGAGGCCUUGCUCACAAUUCAUUCUGUGGCAGCACAAUGACCAAACAAUAUACUGUAUGUGAGGCUCUUGAUCAUAUCUUUGAUCGUGACACUGGUGAGGAGGAGAGAGUCCUUGUUUAACUGUGACACAAAGUGGUCUGUGAUAAAUAGCACAAUAUGUUUCAUCUGAGUAUUUGUUAUAGUCAACAUAAUCCAUACAUAGUUUUUUUUACUCAAAAACGAGUUGUAUGAGCUCAGGUCAAUGAGGCCUACAGGCCAUAAAUAGC
rnacentral:lncRNA from 1 species